UACGUAGGGACCGAGCGUUGUCCGGAAUCAUUGGGCGUAAAGAGCGUGUAGGCGGCUAUUUAAGUCCUGCGUGAAAUCCUGCGGCUCAACCGCAGACGGUCGUGGGAAACUGGAUGGCUAGAGUGCGGGAGAGGAGAGUGGAAUUCCCGGUGUAGCGGUGAAAUGCGCAGAUAUCAGGAGGAACACCGGUGGCGAAGGCGGCUCACUGGCCCGAUACUGACGCUGAGGCACGAAAGCGUGGGGAGCAAACAGG
rnacentral:rRNA from 1 species